UACGUAGGGUGCAAGCGUUGUCCGGGAAUUAUUGGGCGUAAAGAGCUCGUAGGCGGUUUGUCGCGUCUGCUGUGAAAACCUGGGGCUUAACUCCGGGCCUGCAGUGGGUACGGGCAGACUAGAGUGCGGUAGGGGGAGACUGGAAUUCCUGGUGUAGCGGUGGAAUGCGCAGAUAUCAGGAGGAACACCGAUGGCGAAGGCAGAUCUCUGGGCCGUAACUGACGCUGAGGUGCGAAAGCGUGGGGAGCAAACAGG
rnacentral:rRNA from 1 species